CAUCCCUGGCUAAGUGAGGAUCGCAAUUCAGACCAGAACCGAGAUCUCUUGGUUGAACACCAGUACUCUGCUUACUUUAUCUCAUGGUCACACUUUGAUAUAUUUUUUUUCUUUUCUUUGGUGAAAAGCAGAAGGUAUCUUCCACUUCCCAUGGCUGUAACCAUUUGUACAACUCAGCAAGUACAAGUGUUGUAUCAUGUGGGCAGCAGUUCAAAGAUUUUUUUAACCAGAUUAUGCAAUUAUCCCAAUGCUUAGCAUUAUGUAAGUGUACCUGAAAAACAGGUUAUUACAAGCAAUAAAACUAGAAACUGGCAGCUGAUUCACUUCUUACAUAUUUCCGAACUUUGCAAAGGAUUGUGAUAUUCACGAGGCCAUCCUCUUGCUCAGCCGAACACGGUGUCCACGGCAGACAGUUCUUCACGGAAGGACAAAGGAAACCCAAGGAAAGCCGGGGAGGCUUUCAUCUUAAGAAACAGAGAAAAGAAUUUCCCUGAGGCACUUUCUGCUGUCACUUUGAACACUGGUGACAGUGAUCCGAAGUUACAGCCGCCGUUACUAAUCUCACUGAGGGUUCGUGGAGCGGGCGACAACCUCUAUGCAGGUUCUCAAACAGCACGUCUGACGAGCUAACGGUGACGACUUACUGCGAUGUGCGGCUCUCACGGGGUCGCCUGCAACAGGCUGCUGGACUCUUGGCUUUAAUAACUCCUCAGUGCUUUCUCCCGGGUCCAUCCUGAAAUACAGCUUCCAAGGGACCCGUGUGUCCAUUGUAGCUCGUGGUUUUUUGGGAUGCCCCCACGACAGCCCAGAUCAGCCCGUCCCUCACUCCACACCCCCCGGAGGCAGAUGACCAAUGGCGAAGGCCCUCAGGAUUCAGGGGCACAAGGCGCAGCCUGUCCGCACGGGUUCCCGCUACUGCUGUGUCCUGGACAUUUCUUCGUCCUUUCCUGCUGUUGGGUGUUCAAAACCCCGAAUGCUAAACAAAUGUAAGAAUGUUAAAGAAUGUUAGAAGAGAGACUCAGCAAGAGGACUGUUCCAUGAACGCCUCUGCUCCGCAGAGAGGAGAAGUCGGAGGGCUGGGGUUUUGGAGGGAGGGUUGGUCGCAGAAGAAAAACAGAUCACACGUGGCAAAGGCCAUUCUGGGGUAGGACAUCCUCUCGUUUCUAUCUGCUACUUAAAAAAAAAUCUCACCAGGAACUUAUUCCGUGUGCAUCUUUAUUCCGAUUUUCUUUCCCACUUGUAACACAUUAUCUUCUUGGGAUAUUUACAUCAUGUGGUUUACCGAAAAGACAGUUGGAAACAUAGUGUUCGAUGGAAAAGAGAGGAGGCUGCUUUCCUUGCAGGGCCCCGCAUCCAGAGCUGGAUCAUUCCCCGGUGUUGCCUCUGCAGAACUCAGCAGAAGGCUCGUGGGGGUCGCUUUCGGGGGACUCAGACUUGAAUCUGACACCAUUUCUUGACUUAACCAAGUUGUUUUCUGUCUUGUUCGCAACAAGCUUCUUUAUGAUGUGGAGAGACAACUCACGCUUGGCAGAGGGCGAGACGAUCAGAUGCUCCAUGACACCUCCCUGAAGAAGUCCUAGAGCCACGUGCUGGGGUUCCCGGUGUCAGAGGACACCCAGCAUCUCCGUAAUCCCCGGCGGCCCUGCUGUGAGCUGCACUGGGCUCUGCACACCCGGCCUUGACCACGAGAAUAAGGGAACCUCACCUCCAUCGAACAGGCAAGCCCUGAACUCAAACUCCCAUGGCCAAGACCACACAGGGAAGCCCACAGUGCCCGCCUUGCCUGGCUGCUCCAACCCCUCGGGCUGCCUCCAUCACGUUGGGUUCCACACUGGCCGGAUUUGGCCCCUAACCAGGCUGCAGAGGGUCUGAACCUCUGAACUUGCCACUCUGUUGUUCAUUAUUUCACUUUUUUGUCCCAUGUCCUUUGUCAGGAGGUAAACAACCCCUGGAGGCUCGUCAGGCUCCAUCUCGGUGUGAACUCCUGUCGGGUCUGGCCCCACUGUUCUCGAUCAGGCAUGAGAAGACAGAACCCGCACUGUCGUCGGCACUGAGAAGGGCUGGUGAGCCUCUCCCAGAUCAGCAGAAAGGAGUGAGUGUUUCCCUGGAUUUCUCCUUAGUAACCCGAAGUACGGAGGACAGAGCAGCCCAAGCCUUGCACAGGGUUUGUGUGACUUGAAGAAAACCCCUAAGAGCAUUUUAACUGUGACUGUUGGUUCAUUUUACAAACUACAUGGAUGGACAAAAGAAAGACGUGACCCCUGAGGGGGACAGUCACCAUCCGCACCGACUCAGGCUCACUGGUUGCAGUAAGAAGAGAAAUGGAUGGGAAAGGCGACAUGACCCAGGGGACACUUGUUUCACAAACUCGAAUAAACAUGGUCAUUAAUACCUAUGCUUAGAGCAGAUGUCCUCAAGUGCUUACUGUUGUUCACUAUAAGGCUUUGCAGACAUCAGGGAUAUUCUCAGUCUGUCUCACAGAGACCUCUGCCCCAGCGCUGGCCGCCAAGCUGAGCAGACCCCUGCAGGGAAAGCACCUCCCUCCGGCGGAACUGGGGGAGACACCAAGAGCCAACAGCAGGCUGUGCUUCUAUCUAAACGGAGUGAUUCCCCAGCCACACCGGUUACGUGUUCAAAGGCACGUGCCCACGCUUCACAGCAAAAGACUCUCAGUAUCCCCACUUCACAAGUGCUUGCCUCUGAACUCCCGGAAGGAAAGAGAGCGAGAGCUAAUUCCAAAGACUGUUCCCAGUGCCACAGUUGACUCCUCCCAAACGAGACUCCCUUCAGCAGCGAUAUUACAGACCUACCACAGAGACCAUCACGACGCUCUGCACUGAGGGUUGGACACGUACUUGGACAUGAGACCAGCCACCACUCACUAUGUUCACUCAGAAAGGGUGCAGUCUGCUCUGCGUGCUCCAGGACUGGCAGCAGGACUUGGCGCAGGCGUAGCAGUCCAGUCCUGGAUCAAGGGCUGCAGCCCGUUGCCGCGUCUGGGUGGGGUUCUCUGACGAACCAGCCCCGUUACUGCGUUUGCCACAUUCACGCUCCUGAAGGGAGAACGGAGGCGGGGUGGUCCCGUAGCUGUUCCACCGCCUGGACAUGUCUGCUUGUUCCUCCGCCAGUAAAGGUUCAGCUGACGUGCAUUCAGGAACCAGACUCCACAGGUGGGCCAAGCACUCUGCCCCGUGCUGUCUCAGGGCGCCUGGAUCGCCGACGCACGCCAUCCCAGGGCUUUCGGCCUCUGUCCAGAGACCCCGUGGUGCAGACGACCUUUCCCAUCAGCACUUUGAGGCCUGCCAUGCAGAUCAGGACAGAGGACGCUUUUGGCUGCGUGCUGGGUGCAGCCGACCAGUUCAGGUGUGAAGGUGCGGUUUCCUGCGGAUGACGGUCUCCCCUCGUCCUACAGGUGCAUUUUCCAGCUUCCCCUCAGCUCAGCUGGAUGUUCUCACGGAUGACCAAACCUGAGUACAUGCGCCCUCUUCCCGGUCCCACAGCCAGAGGUCAGACCCAUGGGACAAUGAGAAGACCCCAGUGUUCCUCGGAAGCCUGCCCGUACAGGCAUUCUGUCUAUUCCCCCAAAUCCUCAGAACUGGGACUGUAGCAGAACGCAGGUCCCCAUUCUCCGGAGGAAGAUGCAGAGGCUCAGCCAACCUAGUUCCUGGUGCCAAGGUGCCAGCUGCAAAGCAGUGACGCUGGGAUCUGAGUGACUCUGCACAUAACAUGCCAUCACCUCUUCUCUAUGCUUCUUCCUCUUUCUUCUCAACACCUGACAUACAAUAUGCCUCUUGGCUUACUUCUUCAUUUUCUGGUCCUUCCUCUUAGACAGGAAGCUCCCUAUAGACACAGGCCGGUGUGCGGCUGGCCUUUGGUACUUAUCUGCCGAAGACAUGCGUUGACCAAGCUGUUCUGCCUCCAGACCCCGGCUCCCCUUUAUGCCAUGCGCUCGCCCCGCGUUGCUAAGAAAGACUGUCUUUCUCUGGCUGGUGCUAACCAGACCAUCUGCAGCUGCUCUCCUUCUAUGCCAACUGGCCAGUGCUGCAUGGGGUGAGCAGGAGUGGGGAGUCCUGGGAGGGGAGGACGGAGAGCGCAGGGACCUUCUGGGCCGGAGCAGCAGGCUGGGCUUCGACUCUGAGGGAAGGGGGAGCUGUGGGCAGGCCCUGAGCUGGGGAGGCGCAGCUCUGGCCGUAGUUCCCAAAGGACCAUUGGCUCAUAAUUGUGAAAAUUGUCUACGGCUGAGCCAUUCAAUUAGGAACGAUCUGCCACAUGAGGCUCCUUAAAUUUAAAUGCACUAAAAUUAAAUAAGAUGUAAAAGUUAGUUCCAGUAGAGGAAUACGUGGUAAAAUUCAAAUCAAGCCUGCAGUUUUGAUUAAUCGCAUACCAGUGCUGGUGUCUUGGGUUGGAUAAAUGCACCACGGCAGAACAAGAUAGGGAAACUGGGUGAAGGCCAUGUGGGGACCUCUCUGCUUUCUUGGCAACUUCCCUGUAAAUCUAGAAAUACUCCAAAAUAAAAAGUAAAAAAGACCCACAAUGUAGUAAAGACCCUCAAUGUAAUUCCUCAGUCACACCACCACGCUUCCCGAAGCCACAGACACAGAGCAUCUCCAUCACCAAGGGGAGUUCCGCUGUUUGGUGCCAUCCAGAGGCAAGAAAGGGCAGAACCAGGAAUGCCAUGGGAGCUCAGGCAGCAAAGCAGGGACCAGGGAUGCAGUGGAAGUUGCAACAAUGUUGUCACACAAUAUUGUCACACUUGCAACAAUGUUGUCACACUUGCAACAAUGUUGUCACACAUCUCAAGUACCUUCCAAUUCAGCGACCCCUUGCAUCUCUGAAUGUGAGACCAUUUUGACCACAGAGUCUGUGGCCAAAUGUCUGAGAGGGUGUGCUAAUGCUCCCAAAGUAGAGCUUGAAAGUUUUUUGGCUUCCUGGGGGUCCCGGGCAUCCUGUGUCUGCACCCCGGAAGGACACCUGGCUCUGUGCGGGCAGCGCUCCCCAUCCGAGUUUGCCCGCAUGUUCCUCAUGCCGCCCCACCUGCUCGCUCCCUCACCGGCUGUCGGGGGGCCUUCUCCUCCUGGCCUGUUGCUGCCAGCAGUGAGUCAGGAAAUCAUGAGAAAACAGAGGUCAAUUCCCCAAAAUACCAUACUUUAACUUAAAACACAUAAAUAUGUAUUUACUUUGCCAAUCGUUUUGGCCAGGGCCAAGGGCUUCUCUGAACGGGAGUCCACUUUCUUCUUUGGUUAAACCGUGGCUCCCCUACUGGGCUGUAUGAAGGUAUUUUCAGCUGCAAGUGACUCAAACUGAUGUAAGUAAUAAUGAAUUAAUUGCGUCUCCUAGCAAGGGCUCCGAGAGUUCCUGGGGGCCUCGGAGUCGCUGACCAGCAGACUCACGGCGUCGCUCUCCUUGGCAAUCUGCGACGCGAGCUUCAUGUCCAGUGCGUCUUUCCUGAGGGUCGUAGGUGAAGCAGGACCACAUGUAUUUAGUGGGGAAGUGAGAACUCGCCCCACUGUAGAACACUACCCUUCUCUCAUCUAAGAUGCGCUCCAUCUCCGAUGGUACUGACUCGUGAGAAGAGGCGCAUCCCCUUAGGAAGGGGAGAGACAGGACCCGGCCAAGUGGUCUCUAAUCCUUCCCAGCACUCACAUCCCCACUGCGAUUCUCAAGGUACUGGACUGGGGGAGAACUCAGAUUCACUUUGCAAAGUGCCCAGAGAGCCAAGUCCUCCUGGACAAUUACACCCCCAAAUGUUCACAAUGAUUUCACCCAACCUUGUUCUCAAUUGUGUUCAGACAUUUCCCAAGUAUUCUACUUAUCUUCUGUAGCAAUUUUCUUUUUUUCUAGCUGAAAGUUCAUCUGUUUAUGGUAGUUUCCCAUCCCUUGUGUCUCAGGGAAUGCUGCCUGCAAGGCGAACCAUUAUAAGGCCCCAAAAAGAAAACACAUGGUCCACUGACUAUGACACGCCAUCACUGUGUCAUAGUCAGCAAUUCGGACUUCAGCGACAGCGUCGGCCCCCAGAGUCGGUGGUAAAUGAUGCCACAUGCACAUGGCAGCACCGGCAGGACAGAAAACCAGCACAGCUGACUCCUGUAGACCGCAUAACCCCCCAGCGGAGCGGAGCCACGCGGACCUGCCGGAGGGGUCCACGUCGGCCAUGGCUGGGAGCCGAGUGCCCUGCAGCUGAGGCUGGCGGGGGGGUGGUGGCUGGAGGUUGGGCAAGAGUCUACCUGUUAUUACGCAUAAGAUGCAAAUAAAAAAAAUCAAAACUCUCCAAAAGAACUAAGAUCCAUAUUCCUUUCUUGUUACGGCCCCAGAUUCCGCACGGCGAGUGAAGUCCUGCUGGUUGAUAAUGACGGGCCAGCGUGCGGAGCAGCGAGUGCCCCGGUGCCUGGCUGGCGGGAAGGGGAACGGCGCCACCAGUUUGGAAAACGGGAAGCCCCCAUCAGGAGAGGGUGGGGUGCCGGCCUGGGGUUCAGGAUGACGUACUGCUGGUGCCAGGCAGAAAAGGGCACGCGAGCUCUCAGGAUCGUGCCUGACAGACUGC